CUUGGCUGAAGCAUAGAAGAAACACCAAUGAGACAUCUGGCAAAAAAGAAACCUGCUUAUGAAAAUGAUGCAUGAAAUGCAAUGCUUGUUUAUUUAUUUUUAUUUUCAGGGUACUUACUAUAUCAUUUGCAAAUAUAUAUAUAUCAACAAUUGCAAUAAUUUUUACAUGACCAAAAAUCUUUUUUCAUUUAUAUAAUUGGAAGGAUUAUACUGAGUACAAUUUCAGAAACCAAUUGAAAAAUACAAGAAAAAAGGAGACUGGCCAUCCUAAGG
rnacentral:lncRNA from 1 species